GUAACACUGAGCAAUGAACCUUGAAAAUGAGGUCAAGGUCAAAUAAAACCUGCGUGACUGACAUAUAGAUCAUAAAUUAUUUCCAUACACCAAAUAUAGUUGAACUAUUGCAUAUAGUAUUAGAAAAAAAGACCAAAAACUCAAAAACUGAACUUUGACCACUGAACCAUGAAAGUGAGGUCAAGGUCAGAUGACACCUGCCAGCUAGACAUGUACACCUUACAAUCAUUCCAUACACCAAAUAUAGUAGACCUAUUGCAUACAGUAUAAGAAAAACAGACCAAAACACAAAAAUUUAACUUUGACCACUGAACCAUGAAAAGGAGGUCAAGGUCAGAUGACACCUGCCAGUUGGACAUGUACACCUUACAGUCCUUCCAUACACCGAAUAUACUAGACCUAUUGCUUAUAGUAUCUGAGAUAUGGACUUGACCACCAAAACUUAACCUUGUUCACUGAUCCAUGAAAUGAGGUCGAGGUCAAGAGAAAACUGUCUGACGGGCAUGAGGACCUUGCAAGGUACGCACAUACCAAAUAUAGUUAUCCUAUUACUUAUAAUAAGAGAGAAUUUAACAUUACAAAAAAUCUUAACUUUUUUUUCAAGUAGUCACUGAACCAUGAAAAUGAGAUCAAGGACAUUGGACAUGUGACUGACGGAAACUUCGUAACAUGAGGCAUCCAUAUACAAAGUAUGAAGCAUCCAGAUCUUCCACCCUCUAAAAUAUAAAGCUUUUAAGAAGUUAGCUAACGCCGCCGCCGCCGGAUCACUAUCCCUAUGUCGAGCUUUCUGCGACAAAAGUCGCAGGCUCGACAAAAACUAUAUAA